GUGGACGAUGUUGAAUACGCCUUGAUUUAUGGAAAGCGUCAAAUACCUGCCCCAAAAUACGGAUAGCGUCCCUGGAAUCACCCACCCCCCAAAUCAGAAAUCGCUGCCAUUCCCUCGUGCUCCAUUGGUUCGACCCGCCGUCGGCGACGCCACGCCGGGCAGGUUUCCCGGUGGUUGGGCCGCGGCCAAGCUUGGAGAUGGGAUUUGGAGCCUGCCUGGCGACGGGAGUCGGACGGCGAGCUGUGGCGACAGGCGCGCCAUGCCGGUGGAUCGGCCGCAGAUUGCGUCGCCGCUACGGUGGUUCGAUUCCGGCGUCGUCGUCGGUCCGAUCAAGACCGGACGCCGGCUGCGGAGGUGUCCUGCCGGUGGUCCACGCCGCCCCGGCCGGAGAUUUUGGCUUCGGCCAAGACCGGCGUCGGUGCUGUUCAAAGAUGCAGACAAGUCCUGUCAGGCCGACCCCCCUGCACUGGUGAAGACGACGCGAUGCCACUCAUCACUCCGUCAGCUGCAGUGUGUGGAACAAUGUCAGGUAUCAAUUUCUCACUGUUGGGGACGGCGCUAGUGGGAGGCUCUAGCUCACUGUUCUUGCAGCAUCGGAUGCUCUCGCUGUUCAUCUGAAAAGAUGUCGGGCAUCAAUUAUUUCUCUCCAUCAAUCAUGGCCUUUUCUAGCUUGCUUUAGCACCCAAACCAUCAAUCAUUGUCACUUAUCGCUCUCCAUCGGCAGCUGCUCCAUACCACAAGCACACGCUCCUGCCGGCACUAGAUCCCCUCCUCAUUUUGCUCCACCCACCAGAUCUAGCUACCAUUGGCACUGCAACUUCUGAAGCAGCGAGGGUAGAGAGGCAUGGAGCCGACGGCCGUCAGCGUGGGCAAGGCCGCUCUGGGCGGCGCGCUGGGCUACGCCACGUCCAAGGCGGCAGAGGAAAUUGCCCUGCAGCUAGGCGUCGAGCGUGAUGUCAAGUUCAUCAGGGAUGAGCUGCAGAUGAUGCAGUCCUUCUUGAUGACGGCUGAUGAGGAGCAGAGCCAGAACAAGGUGCUCACCACCUGGGUGCAGCAGAUCGGGGUCCUGGCCUACAAAGUGGAGGACAGCCUCAUGGAUUUUGGCCUCCACUCCGAGAAAAAGCCAUUUUUGGGGUGCAUCCCUCGCAGGCCAGGUGAUCGGCGUCGCAUCGCCAAGGAGGUGAAGCAGCUGAGGGCCGAGGUGGAGGACGUGAGCAACAGGAACCUGCGCUAUCGCCUUAUCAAGGAGAGCUCAGGCUCCAAGCCUACCACGGCUGAGGAGCAGGUCAGCAUCGCCAAUGCGGCAAUGUUUGCCACUGUCGAAAAGGACUCAACAUCAAAGGUGAACCUCCACCAGCUGGUUACCAGCAAUGAUGUGAACCUUAGGGUGAUCUCCAUGUGGGGAACUAGCGGUGAUCUUGGAAAGACUUCUGCCAUCCACGAAGUUUAUGAUGACCCAAUGAUACUGAAAAGGUUUGGAUUCCGUGCUUGGAUUAGGUUGAUGCAUCCUUUCAAUCCGCAAGAGUUCCUCAGGGGCUUGUUAUGGCAAUUUUAUGAAAAUUACCAUGAUGAGGUUGGAAAAUCCGAACAAGGAACGAGUGUCGUGCCUAAUGUUCUGGCCAACAUGGAGAGGAUGGAUCAAAGAGAUUUAGUCCGUAUGUUUAGUGAGCAGUUGUGCAGCAAUGGCUACCUGGUUGUCAUAAAUGACCUGACCACGAUAGAAGAGUGGCAUUGCAUUAAGAAGUACUUUCCUGACAACAAGAAACAAAGUAGAAUCAUCGUUUCUACUCAGCAAGCUGAAAUUGCAAGCUUGUGCACAGAGAAACCGUAUCAAGUUUCAGAGUUAAAGCAGCUGUCAUGUGAUCAAACUAUUUAUUUGUUCCACAAGAAGUUGCAGAAAUCGGAGGAGCAGGUCAGCGUGGCCAGUGUUAGUUUGGAAAUGUUUAACACUGACGAAGCAAGGUUUCCUGAUGUGGAGAAUGAGAAACUGAAGGGUAUGCGUACAUCAUGGUCUGCUGAGCUUAUUUCCGACUCAAACAAAGUUUCUACUGCCGAGGAAAACACAACAAUGGCCACUGAUGAAAUACAGGAGGAACCCCAAGAAUCCAACAAUGCAGGUGAAGACAAAGUUGGCAAUUCAACUGCUAGAAAGAAGUUUGAACGCAGCAGGACACUGGGGCUGGCUGAUGAAGUGGUCUGUGGGCGCGAAACAGAGAAAUCUAUUCUUAUCAGAUUAGUUGGCCAACCAGACAACAGUCAAGGUUCUAAGGUGAUCUCAGUUUGGGGAAUGGGGGGUCUGGGAAAAACCACUGUUGUCCGAAGCAUCUACCGAAGUCAGCAGCUUGGUGGCUGGAAGCGUGCAUGGGCCACUGCAUUGCGUCCUUUUAACCCUGAAGUACUCCUUAGAGAUUUGGCUUUGCAGCUUCAGAAUGCUAUUCAAGAAGAUCCUGUCGGAUCAACAGCAACUGGAGUGCAAAAGAAAAACAUAUCAGUGAUGAAACUUCAAGACUUGAAGGAUGAGCUAGCUCGAAUACUAAAAGUACAAAAGUGCCUUCUUGUUCUUGAUGAUAUAUUGUCCACUUCUGAAUGGGAUUUGGUCAAAUCGUGUUUGCAUAAUGCUGGAAGGAUCAUAGUCACCACAAGACAAAAAGAUGUUGCGAAACAUUGUUCAAGAGAAAACAAGAACAUGUACUAUCUUGAAGGCCUGAAAGAUGAUGCUGCACUUGACCUCUUCAUGAAGAAGGUAUUCAAGGACAAUAUUAAAAAAAUUGAUUUAGUCCCAGCUAUGAUGGAGCAAGCAAGACUGAUCCUACAUAAAUGUGAUGGACUUCCCCUUGCAAUAUCGACUAUCGGUGGAUUCCUAGCGAGCAAGCCAAAAACUGCUAUUGAAUGGAGGAAGAUGAAUGAUCGAAUUGGCACUGAAUUGGAGAUAAAUCCUGAACUUAGGACAAUAAAGACAAUUCUUAUGAGGAGCUACGAUGGUUUGCCAUACCAUCUCAAGUCUGCUUUCUUAUACCUAUCCAUAUUUCAAGAAGACCAGAGAAUUAGGUGGGGUUGCUUGGUGAGGCGGUGGACUGCAGAGGGUUACUCAAGAGAUAUGCAUGGCAUGACUGCAAUUGAACUUUGUCGGAGGUACUUUGAUGAGCUCUUGGAGAGGAGUAUGAUCCUGCCAGGGGAAGGGACAGACCAAUACAGUCACAAAAUCAAUUCUUGUCAACUUCAUGAUAUGAUCCGUGAAAUAUGUAUCUCAAAGGCUAGGGAGGAAAACCUUGUUUUGACGCUGGAGGAAGGAUGUUGUUUGAGUGACACACAAGGUGCAAUACGUCAUCUUGUCAUUGGCAGCAACUGGAAAAGGGAUAAAGAUGUGCUGGAGAGCAAGCUAGACUUGUCACACAUACGGUCAUUGACCAUUUUUGGGGAGUGGAGAUCGUUUUUCAUCUCUGACAAUAUGAGGUUCCUCCGAGUGCUUGACUUAGAAGACACACUGGAGUUAAAAGAUCAUCAUCUUGAUGAUAUUGGGCAGCUCCGUCACCUCAAGUAUCUUUCUCUUCGAGGAUGUCGGAACAUUUUAUACCUGCCUAAAUCUUUGCAAAAUUUGAGGCAUCUGGAAAUGCUGGAUCUCAGAGGUACAUGUAUAUAUGAGUUGCCAACAACAAUCACCAAUCUUCAGAAGCUGCAACACCUUCGUGGAGAUUCGCUUGUCUUGAGACCACAAGUUCUAGAUGCUGGUUUGAACAGAUAUGAUAUAUUCAAUCUAUACCGCUUCCAGAAGAUGAAGCUAGAUGGCGUUAUACAAGGGGUUGGUAAAUUGAAGGCCCUUCACACACUAGGUGGUGUUGAUGUUUCCGGGAGAAAUGGAAAUGUCACUGUAAAAGAGCUUGGAGAGCUUACUCAGCUACAUAAGCUUAAAGUGGGUGGUCUCAGCUACAGAAACAUCAAUGAGUUAUGGUCUGCCAUUGCUGGUCAUGAUCAACUUCAAUCUUUGUCAGUUAAAAUAAUAGGUGGCUGGCAUGAAGAGAAUAACGUGUUAGAUGGCUGUUUGGGUGAUGGUUUGUUGCCACCAAGCAGCCUCGAGAGCCUCACUCUGCUUGGUAAGCUAGUCAAUGUAACAAAAUGGAUCCGUACGCUUCAGAAUCUCUCCAAGUUGGUGCUCACAUAUAGCAGAUUGAAGCAAGAUGAUGCCAUACAAGCCCUUGGAUUUCUACCGAAUCUUGCAGUUCUGCGUCUGAGGAUGGAUUCGUUCUGGGGGGCACAGCUACAUUUCCAUAGCUCAUCUUUCCCGAGUCUCAUGGUGCUGGAGUUGUGUUGGUUACACAACCUCCAGUCGGUGCUGUUUGAAAAAGACGCAAUGCCUAAGCUAGAGGUGCUACAAAUUGGUCAGUGCAAAAAUCUGAAUGGAUUCUCCGGGCUGCCAGCCCUCGGAAGCCUCAAGGAGAUUCGGUUGGGUAGUUAUGAACUCAGUGAAACAUUGAAGGCAUCGGUGCAGAGUCAGGUAGCAGAGGAUAUGAAGCACGUGAGAGUGAAUAUUUUUUGACUAAAUUUUCUUUAUAUGCAUGUAUAUAUAGAUUCCAUCGGGGACCAAAUUAAGAUUGGCAUUUCUUUGAUUUUGGCUCCUGCUGCAGUAAUGGGUGAUGGCAUGUCCUUGAUUAUGUGGCCUAACUGAACCCAUUACUGCUCCUCUGCUACUACCCGUUACUGCUGCCUAUCCCUAUCCCCAAUCCUCUGCUUCUACUCAGCUUGUGUUGCUUCAUCUGCUCCGGUCCAUCUGCUGCUGUAUGUAGGUCCAUUGCUAAGAGUGUUCUGA